CGCAUGUGCGGGCCGUUUCAAACCCCGCAGCGCGCGGGUCUUCUUGUUUUUUGAGGGCGGAACCAAUUGGGCAGGGAGUGACGGAAGCGCGUGCACCCGGGAAUUCAGGGGUGUUCCUGGGCCUGGGUCUAACCGCCUGUCAGGUGUUUGGGUAUGUGCUUUGCCUUCUCCGGUAGUAGCCCCGGUGGACUUCCUCCUCAGAUUCCCUGCGUGGGCGGAGCCAGGGCCGGAACAUGGCGAAGUCGGGUCUGGAUCAUCUCAAAAAUGGCUACAGAAGAAGAUUUUGCCGACCUUUCAGGGUACCCGACAUUAAUACAGGGCAAGGCAAAAACAUGCUGGAAAUCUUACAAGACUGUUUUGAAGAAAAAAGUCUUACCAAUGAUUUUAGCAUAAAUUCUACAAAAUCAGUGCGUUAUUCGACACCCAGAGUGAAAGACAAUUCUAUUCAUUCCUCAAGCAAAGAGAAAUCACAUUCAAAGUCAGUUCCAGUUUCUUCAAGGAAGAAGGAAGCCCCUCUGCAAGACAUUAUAGAACCAAAUGAAACUGCCCACAAAUCAGUACAAGGCCAUGAAGUUCUUCAGAAAAUCCUGGCAACUGAUAUUGUUUCUAGAAAUACACCCGACUUGAAAAAAAAGUCAAGUAAAAAACCAAGUGACCAUCCUAGUGAAGCUGAGGAAGAAUUUUAUUUAUCUGUUGGCUCACCUGCUGUUCUUUUGGAUGCAAAAACAUCUGUAUCACAAAAUACUAGUUCAUCUCUUGCUCAAAAGAGAGAGACUUAUACUUUUGGAAAUUCGUUAAAUAUGCUGUCUUCAAGUACAGAGAUUUCUCUUAAAACCAAAAAAAGGUUAAACUUUGAAGAUAAAGAUAUUUUUAAAAAAGUAGAAAUAGAGAAUAAAGUAUCAGAAGUAGAAAAUAAAAUACCAGAAGGACAACAAGAAAGGAAGCCAUCAGAAACAUUUCAGAAAAGUGUACAGGAUUUGGAACAUGAAAUUCAACCACAAACUAAAAAGAGCUUUUCAACAUUGUUUUUAGAAACUGUAAGAAGAAAAAGUGAAUUCAGUCCCAUUGUUAAGCAUAUAGUGACUGCUCCACCUCAUUCAUCUUCUCCAAAUGAUAUGAAGCUGUUAGAAGAUGAAUUUGUAAUUGAUGAGUCAGAUAAAAGUUUUGCCAGUGGAUCUUGGAUUACAAUACCAAGAAAGGGUGGAUCUCUGAAACAACCCACGAUAUCCCCUGAUGAGAGCACUGCAGUCCUUCAAGGUAAGAAGUCCAGAGAAAAACAUCGAAGUGUAUCACCUAACACUUUGAGAAGUGACCAGCAUUUGCAUAAAGCUCAUCCAGAACAGAAAUUUCAACCCUGUGAUGAAAAAAAAGUGGAUACAAGUUCUUCUUUGACAGAUGAAUUGGAAAAUAAUGACAGAUCUACAAAAUAUGAAAUCUCUUCUGAAAAUGUCAAAAAACCAUCUGAAAACAAAAGGCCAAUAAAACAAAAUCAGAGAAGAAAAUUUAAGGCCAACGUAGUUAAAGAACAGCUUGAUCUGGAACAGUCUAAAGAUAAAAAUGUAAAUAUGUCACACUCUGCUGAAGACAAGUUGCAAAAAAAUUUACACAGAAAUGGAGAAGAUUGUGAAGGGACGAGAAAUGAUAAUAUAUUCAAAACACCUACACUACCUGUAGGAGAUAAGAAAAUAAAUAGAGGCACCAAAAACAAUAAGGAAGAAUCUAGAAAGAAGCAUUUUUCAAGUGAGUCCAAGAAGAAUAAACUUGUACCUGAAGAAGUGACUAUUACUGUCAUGAGAAGUCAUAGGCUUUCCAGGCGUCCAUCUGAUUGGUGGGUGGUAAAAUCAGAUGAAAGUCCUGUUCAUAGCAAUUCUUCAAUAAAAAAUGAAUUAUCAGUGUAUCACAACCCUAGACAAAAAUCUGCUAAGAAAACAAAUCAGUCAUCUAAGAAUACUGGGAAAAAAGCCAUUCCAUUAAAAAAGCAGAAGACAGCUAUGCAAGGCAGCUCAAGAGUACAGAAAUUUUUAAAUGUUAAAGGUUCUGAGUAUAUUAGCAACCAUGAAAAACUUCCCAGUUGUUCCCAGAAUGAGCCAUCAGAAAGUGACAAAGCUGACCUGGCUGCAAAGAAAAGUCUUGAUUGUUCUGGAACUACAGAGCGCUCCAAGGAUCAAUGUGGUGUUACAACUGCACAAAAUGUUCGUUUAAAGUCUCAGACCAGUGACCAUAUUUGCAAGACACCAACAGAGUCUAAUUUGGAUUCUGGAAAGUGUAAAACUUCAGUUUUGGAAGAAAGUGGACCAUCCAGGAUCAAGAACUAUUUAAUGUUUGGGAAGAAUACUUCUGAUGUGUGUGAUGAAGAAGUUCAGGAAAGGUUAGAUGACUCAAGACUGAAAAGAACUAAAGUGUCACCAGAGAAGAAAACACAUCAUAAAUUAAUUUUGCCCUCCAACACACCAAAUGUCCGCAGGACCAAAAGAAUACGUUUUAAACCUUUGGAAUACUGGCGAGGAGAGCGAAUAGAUUAUCAAGAAACAUCAUCAGGAGAAUUUGUGAUUGGUGGAAUAUUGUCCCCAGUCACAAUAACAUCUAAAAGAAAGGCAAAAGGAAACGUGGAAAGAGUCAAAAAAGUAACUAAUAGGAAAAGGAUGUGUCUUGAUAAUGAUGAAAGAAAGAAUAAAUUAAUACUAAAUGUUGAUAUAUCUCUAAGAGAUCCUUUGCAGCCAACACCAGUAAAGGACCCAGAAACAAGAGAGAUUGUUCUUAUGGAUCUUAUAAAGCCACAAGAUACAUAUCAGUUUUUCGUGGAACAUGGUGGAUUGAAAGUAUAUAAAACUUUGGAUACACCUUUAUUUUCUACUGGGAAAUUGAUAUUAGGACCCUAUGAAGAAAAGGGAAAACAGCAUGUUAGCCAAGAUAUAUUAAUCUUUUAUGUUCACUUUGGUGACCUUUUGUGUACUUUAUGUGAAUCAUCUUAUUUAAUAACUACUGGGGAUUCUUUCUAUGUUCCUUCAGGUAAGAAUAACUAAAGACAUUUUAUUUCACAUAGUCUCCAUAUAGUUGUUCAUAUGCAGCAUGAAAAUGGAAGCCUUAGUUGUCGACAGAGUGCAACACAAUUGAUUACAAAGCAGUUUGGUACAUAUUUUUCUUUCAUCAUUAGGUAAUUAUUACAACAUCAAAAAUCUCCUGAAUGAUGAAAGUGUUCUUCUUUUUACCCAAAUUAAGAGAUGAAGAAUGAAGCAAGUUUAAAUAUGUGUGGGUAUUUAUGGAUAUGUGUAUAACAUAUACAUGUACACACAUGUAUAAAGCAGCUUGUAUAGUUGACGUUUAUUUUUGUAAUUACUUGUAUUAUUUUAAAAUAAAAAUUUUAUUCAGCUUUGUGUAAA